rnacentral:rRNA from 1 species
CAAAUUUGAAAUCUGGCGUCUUCGACGUCCGAGUUGUAAUUUGAAGAAGGCGACUUUGUAGCUGGUCCUUGUCUAUGUUCCUUGGAACAGGACGUCAUAGAGGGUGAGAAUCCCGUGUGGCGAGGAUCCCAGUUAUUUGUAAAGUGCUUUCGACGAGUCGAGUUGUUUGGGAAUGCAGCUCUAAGUGGGUGGUAAAUUCCAUCUAAAGCUAAAUAUUGGCGAGAGACCGAUAGCGAACAAGUACAGUGAUGGAAAGAUGAAAAGAACUUUGAAAAGAGAGUGAAAAAGUACGUGAAAUUGUUGAAAGGGAAGGGCAUUUGAUCAGACAUGGCGUUUGCUUCGGCUUUCGCUGGGCCAGCAUCAGUUUUAGCGGUUGGAUAAAUCCUCGGGAAUGUGGCUCUGCUUCGGUAGAGUGUUAUAGCCCGUGGGAAUACAGCCAGCUGGGACUGAGGAUUGCGACUUUUGUCAAGGAUGCUGGCGUAAUGGUUAAAUGCCGCCCGUC